rnacentral:tRNA from 1 species
AGGCUCGUAGCUCAGCUGGUUAGAGCACCACCUUGACAUGGUGGGGGUCGUUGGUUCGAGUCCAAUCGCGCCUACCA